rnacentral:rRNA from 1 species
CCUACGGGUGGCAGCAGUGAGGAAUAUUGGUCAAUGGGCGCGAGUCUGAACCAGCCAAGUAGCGUGAAGGAUGACUGCCCUACGGGUUGUAAACUUCUUUUAUAAAGGGAUAAAGUGAGGCACGUGUGCCUUUUUGUAUGUACUUUAUGAAUAAGGAUCGGCUAACUCCGUGCCAGCAGCCGCGGUAAUACGGAGGAUUCGAGCGUUAUCCGGAUUUAUUGGGUUUAAAGGGAGCGUAGAUGGGUGGAUAAGUUAGUUGUGAAAGUUUGCGGCUCAACCGUAAAAUUGCAACUGAUACUGGCAGUCUUGAGUGCAGUUGCGGUAGGCGGAAUGUGUGGUGUAGCGGUGAAAUGCUUAGAUAUCACGAAGAACUCCGAUUGCGAAGGCAGCUUACUAAGCUGCCACUGACAUUGAUGCUCGAAAGUGUGGGUAUCAAACAGGAUUAGAUACCCCAGUAGUC